rnacentral:misc_RNA from 1 species
CUGUUCGAGCGUCAUUACAACCCUCAAGCUCAGCUUGGUAUUGGGCUCGCCUUCACCGGCCUGCCUUAAAAUCAUUAGCGACUCCGUCCAGUCUCAAGCGCAGUAAUACUCGUCGCUUGUUAGGCUUGGCCGGCAGCCUGCUACCAACCCCCUCAUACAAGGUUGACCUCGGAUCAGGUAGGGAUACCCGCUGAACUUAA